CUACUCUUAGGUUUGCCACCUGACUGGUAUUUUAAUGGCACAGAUGGUAUUUGAGGCUGCCUGGUCGUGCCGGUAUUGCAGUAAUACCGGCAAUACAAAUGCAGGUCAUUUUCUCAGAAUAAAUGGAAAUUACUCUGCAAUACCAGCACCAGCCAGUAGGGGUCACUGUGUGUGGAGAGAGGCAGGGAUAGGAAGUUACAGAAUAUCCCUGCUUCUCUCUACUACUCACUGAUCCGUGGGGGAGCAGCUACACAGCACAGAGAGUCCAGACAGCAGCUCUACAGCUCAGGUAAGUGAGGGAUGGGGGGAAAGGCAGCAGGGACACAUGGGGACACUGAGACACUAGGGGACACAUGGAGACACUAGGGGACAUAUGGGGACACUGAGACACUAGGGGACACAAACACUAGCACACAGACACUGGGAGACCUGGGAACACUGAGACACUUGGGGACACUGAGACAUUAGGGGACACUGAGACACUUGGGGACAUAUGGGGACACAGACACUAGGGGACACAGACACUAGGGGACACUGAGACACUAGGACACAUGGGGACACAGACACUAGGGGACACUGGGACACAUGGGGAUGCUGAGACACAUGGGGAUGCUGUGAGACAUAGGGACAUUGGGACACGGCGACACUAUGUCCCCCAGCCAGUGUCCCUAGUGUCUCAGUGUCCCCAAGUCUCCCAGUGUCUGUGUCCCAUGUCUCUCAGUGUGCCUUGUGUCCCAGUGUCCCCAUGUCUAUGUCCACAACUGUCCCCAUGUCUCCCCAAGUGUCUGUCUCCCAGACAGUGUCCACUAGUCUCCCAGUAUCCCCUAGUCUCCCAGUGUCCCCUAGUCUCCCAGUGUCUGUGUCCCGGUGUCUUAGUGUCCCCAAAUGUUUCAGUGUCUCCAUGUCUCCCAGUGUCUAUGUUCCUAGUGUCUCAGUGUGCCUGGUGUCCCCAUGUCUCCCAGUGUCCCUAUAUGUCCCAGUGUCCACAUGUCUGUCCCCAUGUCUCCCAGUGUCCUCAAGUGUCUGUCUCCCAGCCAGUGUCCCCUAGUCUCCCAGUGUCCCCUAGUCUCCCAGUGUCUGUGUUCCCAUGUCUGUUUCCCUAGUGUCUUAGUGUCCCCAAAUGUUUCAGUGUCCCCAUGUCUCCCAGUGUCUGUGUCCCUAGAGUCUCAGUGUCCCCAUUUCUCCCAGUCUCCCUAAAU